CGGAGCUUGCUCCACCGGAAAAAGAAGAGUGGCGAACGGGUGAGUAACACGUGGGUAACCUGCCCAUCAGAAGGGGAUAACACUUGGAAACAGGUGCUAAUACCGUAUAACAAUCGAAACCGCAUGGUUUUGAUUUGAAAGGCGCUUUCGGGUGUCGCUGAUGGAUGGACCCGCGGUGCAUUAGCUAGUUGGUGAGGUAACGGCUCACCAAGGCCACGAUGCAUAGCCGACCUGAGAGGGUGAUCGGCCACAUUGGGACUGAGACACGGCCCAAACUCCUACGGGAGGCAGCAGUAGGGAAUCUUCGGCAAUGGACGAAAGUCUGACCGAGCAACGCCGCGUGAGUGAAGAAGGUUUUCGGAUCGUAAAACUCUGUUGUUAGAGAAGAACAAGGAUGAGAGUAACUGUUCAUCCCUUGACGGUAUCUAACCAGAAAGCCACGGCUAACUACGUGCCAGCAGCCGCGGUAAUACGUAGGUGGCAAGCGUUGUCCGGAUUUAUUGGGCGUAAAGCGAGCGCAGGCGGUUUCUUAAGUCUGAUGUGAAAGCCCCCGGCUCAACCGGGGAGGGUCAUUGGAAACUGGGAGACUUGAGUGCAGAAGAGGAGAGUGGAAUUCCAUGUGUAGCGGUGAAAUGCGUAGAUAUAUGGAGGAACACCAGUGGCGAAGGCGGCUCUCUGGUCUGUAACUGACGCUGAGGCUCGAAAGCGUGGGGAGCAAACAGGAUUAGAUACCCUGGUAGUCCACGCCGUAAACGAUGAGUGCUAAGUGUUGGAGGGUUUCCGCCCUUCAGUGCUGCAGCUAACGCAUUAAGCACUCCGCCUGGGGAGUACGACCGCAAGGUUGAAACUCAAAGGAAUUGACGGGGGCCCGCACAAGCGGUGGAGCAUGUGGUUUAAUUCGAAGCAACGCGAAGAACCUUACCAGGUCUUGACAUCCUUUGACCACUCUAGAGAUAGAGCUUCCCCUUCGGGGGCAAAGUGACAGGUGGUGCAUGGUUGUCGUCAGCUCGUGUCGUGAGAUGUUGGGUUAAGUCCCGCAACGAGCGCAACCCUUAUUGUUAGUUGCCAUCAUUUAGUUGGGCACUCUAGCAAGACUGCCGGUGACAAACCGGAGGAAGGUGGGGAUGACGUCAAAUCAUCAUGCCCCUUAUGACCUGGGCUACACACGUGCUACAAUGGGAAGUACAACGAGUCGCGAAGUCGCGAGGCUAAGCUAAUCUCUUAAAGCUUCUCUCAGUUCGGAUUGUAGGCUGCAACUCGCCUACAUGAAGCCGGAAUCGCUAGUAAUCGCGGAUCAGCACGCCGCGGUGAAUACGUUCCCGGGCCUUGUACACACCGCCCGUCACACCACGAGAGUUUGUAACACCCGAAGUCGGUG
rnacentral:rRNA from 1 species